UAGGGAAUCUUCCACAAUGGACGAAAGUCUGAUGGAGCAACGCCGCGUGAGUGAAGAAGGGUUUCGGCUCGUAAAACUCUGUUGUUAAAGGAGAACAUAUCUGAGAGUAACUGUUCAGGUAUUGACGGUAUUUAACCAGAAAGCCACGGCUAACUACGUGCCAG
rnacentral:rRNA from 1 species